UGCCCCUCCCCCGCUCACUCUCUGCCUCUCUCUGUCUCUCAAAAAUGAAUAAACAUUAAAAAACAUGUAUUUGAACUUUACAAUCUGUGUAUUAGGCAAGGGAAAUAGUAUGUUAAUUUAUAGAUAAGAAAAAUAAAAUUGGAGGGAUGUUAAGUGGAUCAUCUAGAACUACAUGAGGAGAAGAACACACCCAGAAUUUGAAUUUAGGCUUCCUUCUUCUCAUUCAAGGCUCUGUCAAUUAUAUCAUACUAUAUAUAUUCUCUUCGAAGAAGGAUUAUAUGAAAUGGUAUUUUCUACUCUAAACUUCUUCUGUUGCACAUUUGUAUGAAAGUUGUUUUUUUAAUCUUUAGAAAUUAGAUUUUUAAAAAUUUCAGUAUAAACAGCAUAAUGUUAAAUUGCUAGCUUUUGUCUUUUUUUUUUCUUAGCUCUCCAUGGACUAGAAAAGGAAAAUACUUUUUUCUCAGGGUGAAAAUAGAUCCUGGUGUUUUUUGGACUCUUCGUAAGAUUAAUUCACCAGAUAAUUACCAAUAAAAAACACAACCCAAAUCUUAUUUGCAUGUAUAAAUGUUUCAUUACUUCAUGAAAUGCACCAAAGGAUCUUAACGUGACAGAAAUGAACUCAAAGGAGAAUUGCCUGUCAAAAUAGAAAAUGUCAGUAUUUUGUGGGGGAUAAGUACUACUCACUUUAUCCAUUUCCUGUUUGAAAGUGGCAAACACCUCAUUGCUUUUUGUCAGUGUGUUCUGGAACUCUUCAAACCUUCCGGAAUAGAGAGUAAGCUGUAAAUAAGGGGGAAAGUACAUCUAUUUUAGAGCUGCUUUAAGCAUGCUUCCAGAACAAAACAACAUGGCAUCGUUCAUUAUUUGAGAAGAAAGUUGAUUUAAAGGAAUCCUCAACACAAUGUUAACAAUGUGUUCUGUUCUUUUGUUUACUAUGACAUCACCCUAAGUCAGUGAGUAUGAUUGAAGUACGUCUUUAAAGAAAAAAUGGAAUAAGAAAAUGUGUCAUCACCAUUUCAUUACAGCCUAACUUUUCCCAACACACUUUUAUUGAGCACCGAACAUACACAUUGACUCUAUGUGCAAAGCAUUGAACAUGUGGCUACUGUUUCUGAGAGACAUGCACACGUGAUGGGAAGAUAAUCUCAAAGACAACUUGACGAUGGGACAGGGAAUACUACAAAGUGCCAAGUCUGUUCAGGAUGGUGUCAGUCAGAGAAGCAAGUGAGCAUGGCAGGUGACCACGUAAGCCAUGUUUUUGUGGAGAAGGCGAACCUUGAACUUGGUCUUGAAAGAAGUGAGAAUGUAGAGAAAUGAAAAGAAGUGGUAGAAAAGGUGGACCCGACAUGGGUGGCUGCAGUCAUACCCGUUGUGCCACGCUAAGCAACCAACCAUUUACAUUUCAGUCCAUUUGGUUUUGUAUGUUUAGAAGACAGUGUUAUAGCCAAUAGCAGUUAAAUGUCCCUGUUCAUCAAAAUCAGUUUAUUAUACGAAUUUUCUACAGAUGGAAAGAAUGAGUCUCGAGGAAGGAAUGCCUUUUCUAAUAUGCACACAGUAUAAAACAUCAUAUGGGUUAGCAUUGGCAAGCGUGUGGUUCACUUCAGGAGUACUUUCUACCUCUAUAUCCUUAUUCCAAGGAAUAAGGUAAUUUGAAGUAGGAAUAAAGCAGGACAGGGAAGGAGAGUGUGUUAAGUACUUGAUUGCUAGAGACAGCAAUACACUAAUUCAAUCUUGCUUUAAAAAAUGAUUUUAGAAUAGCAUGCUAUGAGUGGAGAUUUAAUAUGGAUGAUACAUGUUAGGAAAGCCUCCAUUUUCGAAUGAGUAUUUGGUACUGUUGAAUGCUGGAGCAAACCCCAGCUCCUCAAAUGGGCACCAAAUGACUAGCUGGUGGUACCUGGGACACUGUCCUUUUGAAAGAGAAAAUCUACUAACUGGAAGCCAGUAGACUGGAGAGUUCCUGGUCUUGGGGGUGAGAGGUAGAGAGUAUGGGAAUCAGACUACCCCUAGAACCCUGAAAAUCUGCUGGUCGAGAAGGGGUCAUUCUCAAAUGUUGUAGAAUAGCAGAGAUUUCACUGCAGUAAACAAGAACAACGGAAUGAUAAUGUAAAACCUUUCUGUAGGAUAGAUUUUCCAAAGAAAAGUCAAACAACAUCUGAGUAUUGUUUUGAAAUCACAUGUUGGUUCCAUGCAUAUGUGACAGAGCUUGGGGGCAACUCUGGUGGCCUACAUUUUUUUUCUCAUGAUUCCUUGGCACACAGAUGAAAGAAGACUGAAUAAAAGGGCACCAGGGAGUUCAUGGCCAGGAAGGUGUAGUAGGGUUUUACACACACACACACACACACACACACACACACACACUGCAUAAGACAAUCCUUACUCAUUAUGUACAACGCACUCUUGACAUAUUCUGUUUAGUUCUGUUUCACUUUUUUUGAAGUAGUGGCUGGGAUCCACUGAAUUGAUUUCAGGGCCCUUGAGUAGGUCAAGUCCUUAAUCUGAGGAUAAACUUCUACUGGACUGGCUAUCUAUACUACUGCACAUAAUCUAGUGGUCCAGGGUGAGGACAGCUACUCCCAGCUGAUCCUCUCCACCUUCAUUUGCAUUCUUGGUUACAUAUCCUGUGAAGUUGCUUUUUCUUACUUUCUCUCCUUUCUUUUCCCCACUUCUCGGGAAUUCCUGCAGAGUUACGGGAGGGUGGCAGAUACUACCGUCCCUGGAGCCGGUCCUCUCAAAGCCGCUCACGCAGCCGGGUCGUUGCAGGCUGCAGACAGGCAGAGCAGGAGUGGGCGCGUGCACAGCCCAUCUUGCUGGCACAACCUUGACAGUAUCAGCAGGAGCAACCGUGCCCACCUCGGCCAGCUUCUCCCCUUCCUUUGGGCAAAAAUGGUCUUUUGGGUGUAUACAUCGGGCAGGUUUUGUUUCCUUUCCUCAUGUUUUCUUGUGGCAUGGGGGAAGGCAGACACACCCAGAGGGCCAGGAAGAAGUGUCUCAUUUCAUUACCACUUCUUCUGGCCUUUUUCUAGUGACUGUUUUUUGUUUUUGUUUUUUUUCUUCUCUCCACUGUUGUUCUUUCUUUUUAAUUGGGGCAAAUACAUGUAAUGUAAGAGUUACCAUCUCAACUAUUUUAAAUGUACAGUUCGGUAUUGUUAACUGGGUCCACACUGUCGUGUAACCAAUCUCCAGAACCCUUUCAUCUUGCAAAACUGAAAGUCUCUACCCAUGAAACAGUAACUCCACAUUUCCCCUUCUAAGUACUGUUUUUCAUACUCAGCCUUUCUUCCUAUUUGACCUCUUUGUGGCAGGUGGCAAAACCUGUGUGGAUUAUGCUUGUCUCAGGUAAACAACUCUAAAACUCUUUACUUGUGCUAACUCAAAAUGGACACUUCUUGUUUACUUUGUGGAUAUUUGUUUGGUAUAUGUUCCCUCUCACUAUCACGCUGACAUGAUGCAUGUUUGGUUUCAUGUGUCAUAUUCCUGCUCUUAUUUUGGUAUUUCAGAGAAGCAUGCAAGGGACAUCCAGAGGUCAUCCACAGUACUCCUGCCAGAGGCAGAAAUAGAAACGGACUGUUCUAGGAGUUCUGUGGCUGCGGGUGCUCCAUGCUGCCGAGAACCUCCGGGGUGUGGGAACGCUCUCGGUUUCGUUUCCUGGAUCCUAGGCUGUGACAAUGAGAAGCCAUCUUGGAGGCUGCCAUGAACAGGAGGGUUUGAGAAGUCCUCUUUAUGGAGGUCACAUUUGAAUGGAAAUCCAAAUGAUUAGACAGAAUUAGCCAUUCCAAGCACCAGUUCAGAGGAUCCAGGCCGAAGAAGAGCAGGUAUACCCCCAGCAUUCCUGUCCUUGACUCCUACCCUCCCCUUUUGCCUUCCUCAUCCAGGCUUUGUGCUCCCCCAACAUUUUUUCCUUCUUAGGCUAUGGAACUGACAUUCAAUUUGGAGUUAAAACAUCCUUCAUUAGAGAUGUGCUACUUUCCACAGCACAGUCUUUAACAUUAUUAUUGUUAUUUUUAAUUUUUUUAAUGUUUAUAUGUUUUUGAGAGA